UAGUGAAAUCGAGUAGGACGGGACACGUGAUAUCCUGUUUGAACAUGGGGGGACCAUCCUCCAAGGCUAAAUACUCCUGACUGACCGAUAGUGAACCAGUACCGUGAGGGAAAGGCGAAAAGAACCCCUGUGAGGGGAGUGAAAUAGAACCUGAAACCGUGUACGUACAAGCAGUAGGAGCCCACUUGUUGGGUGACUGCGUACCUUUUGUAUAAUGGGUCAGCGACUUAAUUUUAGUAGCAAGGUUAACCGUUUAGGGGAGCCGUAGGGAAACCGAGUCUUAACUGGGCGUCAUAGUUGCUAGGAUUAGACCCGAAACCGAGUGAUCUAGCCAUGGGCAGGUUGAAGGUGAGGUAACACUUACUGGAGGACCGAACCGACUAAUGUUGAAAAAUUAGCGGAUGACUUGUGGCUAGGGGUGAAAGGCCAAUCAAACUCGGAGAUAGCUGGUUCUCCCCGAAAGCUAUUUAGGUAGCGCCUCGGACGAAUACUACUGGGGGUAGAGCACUGUUAAGGCUAGGGGGUCAUCCCGACUUACCAACCCUUUGCAAACUCCGAAUACCAGUAAGUAAUAUCCGGGAGACACACGGCGGGUGCUAACGUCCGUCGUGAAGAGGGAAACAACCCAGACCGCCAGCUAAGGUCCCAAAGUUAUAGCUAAGUGGGAAACGAUGUGGGAAGGCUCAGACAGCCAGGAUGUUGGCUUAGAAGCAGCCAUCAUUUAAAGAAAGCGUAAUAGCUCACUGGUCGAGUCGGCCUGCGCGGAAGAUUUAACGGGGCUAAGCUAUACACCGAAGCUGCGGCAAU
rnacentral:rRNA from 1 species